AUUGAACGCUGGCGGCAGGCCUAACACAUGCAAGUCGAGCGAGCGGCGGACGGGUGAGUAAUGUCUGGGAACCUGCCUGAUGGAGGGGGAUAACUACUGGAAACGGUAGCUAAUACCUUAUACCAUCGGAUGUGCCACGCUGGGAUUAGCUAGUAGGUGGGGUAACGGCUCACCUAGGCGACGAUCCCUAGCUGGUCUGAGAGGAUGACCAGCCACACUGGAACUGAGACACGGUCCAGACUCCUACGGGAGGCAGCAGUGGGGAAUAUUGCACAAUGGGCGCAAGCCUGAUGCAGCCAUGCCGCGUGUAUGAAGAAGGCCUUCGGGUUGUAAAGUACUUUCAGCGGGGAGGCGUUACCCGCAGAAGAAGCACCGGCUAACUCCGUGCCAGCAGCCGCGGUAAUAC
rnacentral:rRNA from 1 species